rnacentral:lncRNA from 1 species
GCUACAUAUAUCAUUGUUUUGGUGAUUAAAUCUUGUAAGUUGAUAAAUAAUUUAGUUUUAUGCAUUCUGAAAGACUGUAUUAAUUGUUUUUAUGAUUUUUUUUUAUUUUCCCUAUUGUUAUAUAUUUUCUUUAUUUUUCCUUUUUUGUAUAAAACUUGCACUUUAUGUUGACCUCAUUUUCAUAGUUUGUUUGUCAACAGUAAGGUUCUAUCUUUAGAUUAGUGUAAUUACUGUAAAAAAAACUGGUCAAUUAUAUUUUGUUUAUUGAUGUAUUGUAAAAUGUAUAAGUGCAAUUGACAGGGUUCACCUAACCUUGAUGACAUUCAUAGUUCAUAUAUGUACACUGUUUGUAUGAGGUCAUUUCUUUGUUUCUAUAAAUACAAGGUAUAUGUCAACUAUAUUUGUUAUAAAUAUAAUAAUGGUUAUGCACUUGUCAGUAUGUCACAGUUCAAUUAAUGAUGACCUCAUUUUCA